rnacentral:rRNA from 1 species
CCAGAGCGGUGCUACCUGCAGUCGACGAAAUCUUCGGAUUUAGUGGCGGACGGGUGAGUAACGCGUGAGAAUCUGCCUUCAGGAUGGGGACAACAGUUGGAAACGACUGCUAAUACCCAAUGUGCCGCAAGGUGAAACUUUUUUGGCCUGAAGAGGAGCUCGCGUCCGAUUAGCUAGUUGGGGUGGUAAAAGCGCACCAAGGCAACGAUCGGUAGCUGGUCUGAGAGGAUGAGCAGCCACACUGGGACUGAGACACGGCCCAGACUCCUACGGGAGGCAGCAGUGGGGAAUUUUCCGCAAUGGGCGAAAGCCUGACGGAGCAAUACCGCGUGAGGGAGGAAGGCUUUUGGGUUGUAAACCUCUUUUCUCAAGGAAGAAUAAAUGACGGUACUUGAGGAAUAAGCAUCGGCUAACUCCGUGCCAGCAGCCGCGGUAAUACGGAGGAUGCAAGCGUUAUCCGGAAUUAUUGGGCGUAAAGCGUCCGCAGGUGGUCCAUCAAGUCUGCUGUUAAAGACCAGGGCUUAACCCCGGGAAGGCGGUGGAAACUGGUGGACUAGAGUACGGUAGGGGUAGAGGGAAUUCCCAGUGUAGCGGUGAAAUGCGUAGAGAUUGGGAAGAACACCAGUGGCGAAGGCGCUCUACUGGACCUGUACUGACACUCAGGGACGAAAGCUAGGGUAGCGAAAGGGAUUAGAUACCCCUGUAGUCCUAGCCGUAAACGAUGGAUACUAGGCGUUGCUUGUAUCGACCCGAGCAGUGCCGUAGCUAACGCGUUAAGUAUCCCGCCUGGGGAGUACGCACGCAAGUGUGAAACUCAAAGGAAUUGACGGGGGCCCGCACAAGCGGUGG